GUCGUCCAUGAUGCUUUCGAUUUACCGGUCGUACGAAACAAUUCUGCUAGAAAUUCUACCCUUAAAUGUUGGGAAAUUGCUUUCAGAUUCAAACGAGAACAUGCAGGAAAAGAAAAUGAGGACCAGGACAAUUGUUAAGAGAGGAUGCAGCAUCGACGAUAAACGUUGAUGCACUUUGUUCACCCAACACCAACAGUUAGGCUUUGAUAUUCUGGGGAUGUAAAGGAGAUUGGUUAAAUUUAUGAGUGAAAUGUAUGAAUCCUCUAAAAUUUGCCUCAACCUCCUAAACAUUCACAGGCCAAACCAGCGAAUCUACUUUUUUGGGUGAUGUUGAAAUUUUCCAGAGUGCAGGGUCCUAAGCAGUUGGGGAAUUUGUUACCAGACCCAAGGAAAAUGUUCUCAGGCAGUGAACCUUUGACCUGCAGCAGUGAACCUUGAUAUAAAUU
rnacentral:lncRNA from 1 species